AGAGUUUGAUCAUGGCUCAGGACGAACGCUGGCGGCGCGCUUAACACAUGCAAGUCGAGCGAGAACCAAGCCUUCGGGCUUGGGGACAGCGGCGAACGGGUGAGUAACACGUGGGGUAAUCAACCCUUGACACAGGGAUAGCCCGGGGAAACCCGGAUUAAUACCGGAUACUCCAUCUGGCUUUCGGGCCGGCUGGAAAAGGUAGCUUCGGCCUCCGGUCAGGGACGAGCCCGCGGCGGAUUAGCUUGUUGGUGGGGUAAUGGCCCACCAAGGCGACGAUCCGUAGCUGGUCUGAGAGGACGAUCAGCCACACUGGGACUGAGACACGGCCCAGACUCCUACGGGAGGCAGCAGUGGGGAAUCUUGCGCAAUGGGCGAAAGCCUGACGCAGCGACGCCGCGUGAGGGAAGAAGGCCUUCGGGUUGUAAACCUCUUUCAGGAGGGACGAAGCCACUCGGGUUAAUAGCCCAGAGGGUGACGGUACCUCCAGAAGAAGCCCCGGCUAACUACGUGCCAGCAGCCGCGGUAAUACGUAGGGGGCAAGCGUUGUCCGGAUUUAUUGGGCGUAAAGAGCGUGUAGGCGGCUAUACAGGUCAGCUGUGAAAACUCGAGGCUCAACCUCGAGACGUCGGUUGAAACCGUAUGGCUAGAGUCCGGAAGAGGAGAGUGGAAUUCCCGGUGUAGCGGUGAAAUGCGCAGAUAUCGGGAAGAACACCUAUGGCGAAGGCAGCUCUCUGGGACGGUACUGACGCUGAGACGCGAAAGCGUGGGGAGCAAACAGGAUUAGAUACCCUAGUAGUCC
rnacentral:rRNA from 1 species